AAGUGCGAUCAUACCAACAUUAAUGCACCAGAUCCCAUAAGAACUCCGCAGUUAAGCACGCUUGGGAUAGAGUAGUACUAUGAUGGGUGACCUUCCGGGAAGUCCUAGUGUUGCACCCU
rnacentral:rRNA from 1 species